CGGAGGAACGUUUGGACACUGCAGACUGCACGCCGCACUCCGACCAGAGCAACACGCCGAACACAGGUGAUCAGUGUCACAUACAGAAGGUCCCAGAACAGCCUUUCAUCUGGUACUUCAGCACAUUAACUGUCUUGCAGAGGACUAGUGACAGACAGAAGUGACACUGUUCUGUGACUAGAUGGAUAUUUCAAUUGCAAACACCGAGAACCUUCCAAUUUAACACGAGAGCUCAUCUGUGCAGCAACUAGACUGUGCACUGGAAAGGU